AUCUCAUCUACAGCCAGUAUGUGCACCGGCCCAAGCUGAGGAUUUAUGAGGAGGAUUGCCAGGACCUGUCUCAGAAAAUAGCGGAGUUAAAACCACAUGUGACUGUCCUGGAUCAGCCCUUGGUGAACGUGAUCAGGAGUUUGUGGGAAGUAAUGAGAACCUGCACUGAUGAAGAGCUGAGUAAGUUUGGAGCAGAACUGAACAAGAUGAAAUCCUGUUUCACCAAAGAGGCUAAAAUCUUAUCUCACAGUGAGAAGGAGACAUUGUACAGGAAACUGCUACAGAGUGCUGAGGUAAAGAACCACAGGGUUGCAGGCAUUUACCUUUAAAAAAUCACUUCUACCACAUUUAUUGUCUUUAAAUGAGUGGGAGCUUAAUUAUUAGAAGUGUGUACUCUCAUGGAAGUUUCUUUCUUAUGAAUACAUUUCCCUUUUAUUUAUAUGCAAAUAUAACAUUGGGACAGUGACUUUCUUGCAGGAAAACUUGUAGGAACCUUCUGCCUAAGAGUUUUGAUGAUUAACAGAGUGAGAAAUGGGAGUAUUAAAGGAAACACCACAAAAAAUGAGUUACUUAUUCUGUAGCAAUACCAGUGUUAGUAAGUAGGAAGGUAGUAGUAGCAGCAAGUAUUAAAGAAUAAAUUUUUCCUUGUGAGGGUGCUGAAGCCCUGG
rnacentral:lncRNA from 1 species